AAGGCUUUCAUAGACCAGCCGGUGCUGAUGGGGUCCGGGACUUGACGAUGGCGCCUGCUCGUUCCUGUUGUGUUCUAUCUGAGGCAUGAUUUUCUUUCGUUUUUGGGAGGUAGAGAGCACGGGGCAGAGGUUGCACCUGACACAUUAGAACUCCGUUGUCACUGCUGUGGCUGUUAUUCCCCUCGGCAAGAGCCAAGGAGCAAACAGGACGUGAAGAUCCCGGUGUUACACAUCCAAUCGUUCACCUCCUUCCAAGACUAUGACAUUCCAGGAAACCUUCACUGCUAAGAGGAACUAAGAUCUAGAGUAUCUCCUCGAGGAAGUACAACUGACUUGUCUUUGGACAAAAUUGAGAAGAACUCAUAAACUUGGCUUCCUCGCUUCUGCUCCUCAGACCCCUGCAAACAUGACUUACCUUGGAAACUAUAAGAAAGGAUGGCCUUAUGUGAGGACACUCAUCAUCCUGGCGUUAAUGUGCUUCUCUUCUAUUUGGCAUUUGAGUCCAACACUACCUGAUCUCAGUCCUUCUUUUUAGAAUCAAUAUUUCCAUAGCAAGUGUAGCAUCAUCUUAAAUGGGGAAUCCCACUUUUUUUUUUUAAAGCUAGAGAUGGCAGUUUGGUGGGAUUGGCCAAAAAUAAUUUGAAGAAAGAAUGCACUAAGGGUGAAAAUGUUAUGUUUAUAAAAAUAUUAUGAAAGCUAAAUGUGAUGCACUUGAAAAAUGUGGCAGGAUAUUUCACUGUAUAUUCAUGAAAUCUGUAUCUAAACUAUAUCAAUAAAUACUAUUCAAGAGAAUAUAAAAA
rnacentral:lncRNA from 1 species